AUAGGAGGGCAUGGUUGUUUAGAAGAGACGAGGGCUCGAGCCAGCGGCGGGAGAGAGUGAGACCAUCACAGAGACAGCUAAGUCCCCUCCUGUUCCCCGACUAAGAGGUGAUGACCACUCCACUACCAUUGGCAACUCUCUCCUGACAUGAACUGAAUGUUUCCCUUCCAAGCACUUCAAAUCCUGCACUGAAGUCAAGCCUCUGAACACCUCAACUCAUGCCUCAUACCC